rnacentral:lncRNA from 1 species
GUGACAAACGGAGAAGACUAGCACAGAUUUGCAUCAGCGUCAUUUUUCCUCCAUGGAGAGCCCUGAAGGAGGAGAUUGGACUGAGGUCUGACACAGAUGUUGUCUUGAUACUGCUGGAUAAGUAAGUGACUCUGUUAAAUCGAUAUGCGGAUGAAUGGAUGGGUGGAUGGUUGGUUGGAUGGGGGAAUGAAUUAAUUGGUUGGUUGGUUGGUUGGUUGGUUGGUUGGAUGGGGGAAUGAAUGAAUUGGUUGGUUGGUUAAAUGGAGGGAUAGAUGUUUGGAUAAAUGAAUGGGUGGAUGAUGGAUGAAUGGUCGAUUGUUGGGUUGAUGGAUUAAUGUUAGAUUAAUGAGUGGAUGGAUGGAUAGAUGGUUGGAUGGAUUGGAUGAAAGUGAAAUUCAAAUUCAUUUUACUUUUUUGAUAAUUAUUACCAUUAAUCACUGUUUUGUAGUUUAUUUGCAGUUAUUGCCUUUUCCAGUUGGAUUGUUUACCUACUGUUUGGCAUCAUUUCCAUUUUCACGUGAUUAUUUUACAAACAUCAUCUUGAGCCUGAACAAUGAAAUUUUAUGCAUAGAAACAAAAAACAUUCAACAGUAGUUCUCUGUUAUUCUAAACAGAGAGUAACAGAACCCGAUACUGAGACUGAAGAAAGCCUAAAGAAUCUAAUAUAACACAUUUCAAGUGGUGUCUGCAGCCAGCCACACACGUCAGAAACACAUAUCUAAGUAAAUCCCAUUUUAUCCAGUCUCCUGAAAGUGAAAUAUUUAUCUUGUCUUUUCCACGACGCUGCACAGUAGUUGACUUGCAUUUCUAAAUUAUGUAUUUAUUCAACACGAAUGGACGUAUUUGAAUGUUUUUUUUUGACCAGCCAGAUCAAACUGCUGCUAUUAAAAUGUAUGAGAAAGCAGGAUGGAGCUCAAAGGGGAUGACAAAGAGGUGGAUGGAGAGAUAGGAGAGAGAAAAGCAUAGAAGGGAGGGAGAGUGGAAGAUAUUAUUGAGCAGUUCCCACUGGACAAUCUCAAUAUAUCAUUUCGAUAUAACUCCAUCUUCAAAAUGAGAAGUCUCACUCAGUAAAUACUAGAAUGUAAUAUCGGUGUGUGUGAGAGUGAGCUUGUGGGACAAUUUGAUCUGCUGGUCUUUGUGUGCAUGAGGCCCUGUAAGCACAUCCAGAAUAAGAUUUUAGAAAAGUUUGUUUUCAAUCAGUUAGAUGAUUUUAUGACAUCUGUAACAUCUACUGAAUAUAUCAAUCUGGUUUCAGGACAAGUCACAGUAAAGAGACUUUGUCAAAAUUGCAAACAACAUCAGCUCAAACAUACAAAAAAUGCCCUCUGUCCUUGUAUGCUUGACCACUGAGCAUCCUUUCACAUAGUUGAUUUUAGAUAGGCUUUACAAUCUUACCAGCAUCUCUGGUACUGUUCCUCAAUGGUUUAUAUCUUAUCUUACAGACAGGAAAUUCUAUGUAAGCGUGGGGGAAUGUCCAAAACAAUACCCUGAAAGAUGCUAAAACUUUCUAUCAGCAAAACUCGCAGUUUGGUGAUAAAUUUGAAGGUUUGGCGAACAACCCUUAAAAACAAGACAAAAGCAUCAGCCUUUUGCUAAAAGUUGACCAGUGCAGCUUUGUUAACAUCACGUUACAACAGCUCUUUAGGGUUGUGUAUCUGAGAGAUUGAUUGGCUUUCUUUUUUGCUCUCUCUAUUUGCUCAUUUACAUUUCUAAUUUGAUGCAUGACUCCAGACUAGCAGGUCCAUCUCAAUGUUCAAUAGCUAACAAUAAGUAAAAUCAGAAAAAGUUAAAAAGAUGAUAUCUCAGUGGCAUGGUUCCCUAGCAACCAUUCAUAAAGCCCCGCCAGAAAACCUAAACCCAGCCAGAUUGCUUGGCUGGAACUUUGUUUUUAAUGAAUGCCCAGUUACACUUGGAAAAAGCAGAAAGGUGGGAGUGUGUCUGAACAAACACCAAAGCCUGCAGAGAGGAGAGGGAUCUCUGUGCAGGGACCUAAAAAUACUUUUUUCUGCUGUUUUGUCUCUGUGGACUGGAACGCAGACAGCAAAUAUGAAGCAGAUUACUCUGGGAUGUGCAGUUGGACUGGGGAUAGAGCAACUCAGAGGUGUUUGAUGUUGUGUACAACAAAAAAAAGACCAGCCUCACAAAGACACCUGGGUAUUUAAACCCAUGUUAUCAAAAACAAUGGUAGCCAUCUUUGUACUCAGUCUGACGUUUCCAUUAGCACCAGCCACAGUCUGUCAACUUCUGAGCCUCUAAAAACCAGAAAACACAUCAUAAAUACAAAAGUAGGUUUAUUCUAACUUAAAAAUUACCCACCGUGUUAAAACUCUGAGAGAAUCAUGUCUCCUCUGAGCAGUCUUGGUCUACUUCUGCUGUAUAAGUGGGAUGGCCGACUUUGACAAACUAGAGCUUGAUUUGUUACAAACUCACAUCCAAGGAUUUCUGACGUUAUCAAAAACUAAAAAUAACGUCACUGUUUUUAGUUACAGGAAAAAGAAGAGAUAAAUUACAUGUAGUCACCUGCUUUCUCAUUGUUGUAACCCUAUCUGCCAGCCAUCUUCACCAUUUCUCUGAAACUACUGCUGACAACACCUCAGUACUGGCAAGAUUUCUUCUGGUACAAACCAAACAUCCAUAAACGACAAAUCUGCUCUUGCUAUUUGAAUAACAACCACACAGCUGCACAUUGUUAUGUUUCUACAAUAAGAACUCAGAAAUAGUCCUUCAGAGUCCAAAAAUAGAAACACAAUCAAAGAGAUGAAAAAGUGACAGUAUAAAAAAAAGGAUCAGGACUUCUCAGUGUUUGAUCACCAAAACACUUUGCAGCCAUCAAAGGAUGAAAUGGGUAAAAAAGGCUUUAGAAAAGAAUCACAUAAUGAAACAACAGAAAGACAGAAACAGCCACACAGGCUUAAACACAUUUCACCACACACACACCAACCGUCUGGGCCGCAGACACUUUAGGAAGUGUGUCGCUGAUUGAGGCUGAUUGAGUGCACAGGCAGGAGGCCAACUGUUUGGGGGAAAUUACAAAGAUGAGUGGCACACUGCCUGUCAGCUUUUUUUGGGGGGUUGAGAUGCCCCGUAAUACACACUUCUACACACAGUUCUGCUGCAGUAACAGGACGGAGGCGAGAGAGAACUGAUAAAAGCUUAAAUUGUGAUGCAUUUCAAAGUGACUCAUUUUUCAUCACAUGCUGUAUAAUUGGGCUUCCUCAUCCUUCAUCUGGGAGAUAAAUGACGAAGUUUGCAGACUCAAUUCAAAGAUCAACAUGAGAGGCUGAUUAGACAAUAACAGACUAUAAAUUAUUCUCCCCGAAUAACGCCGCAGACUCUUCAAAUAAUAGUUCAAGUGUUUGAUGAGUCUUCUUAACUCUUUGAACACUGAAGAAAAAUAAAAGUAAAAAGUAAAUGCAUCACUUUUUGUGCUUAUAGUGAUGGGUUUUCUUUGAGUAUCUUCAGAAACCCUACGGAUACACUGACUGCAGCAGCCUGGGUGAUUCAGAAAAAGUAUUCAAUUCUGUCAGAGUUUGGCCCACCGAAUUUUGCUUAUCUUGGUUUUCUUCAGUCGCAUUUAAUACUUGAGCCUGAUUGGUUAAAACCAUGCCCAAUACUCCAAUAUCCAUGACUAGUGUCUCAAACUGAAAGUACCAAGGUAACAAGGCAAGGGUUCAAACAAUGCAAGACACACACACACAACUACUCUUGCUAGGCUGCUUCCCCACUUAAGAGUUUGGGAGUCGCUAAUAUGGAUUUUGGGAAACUGAUGAUUGGUCAAUGCUGUCAGUGAGAGGGGUGGAAACACCAGCGCUGAGGGGUGGAUGAUAACAUGUAGCUAACAAGGAGCCUCCAAUCAGCACAUACCCAGUUGACAGCAGCAAUGAUCCUCCAACAAAAAGAUGACCACUCACUCCCCCAUCAGCCAAAUAGCACUGAGUAGAAGAAAAGAAAAACAUGCACGACAAACACCACCACAACUUGGGAACCAUAACAACCACAAAGCUCAAGAAUUCUGGUUAAUAUCUGACCAUUCAGUCAGACAAAAGAAGAAAGGGUGAGAAAAAAACAUGCAGAAACCAGCUAAGGUUGUUAGCACACUGAGUGAAAACGUCAUCACUUAAAUUGAAGAAAACAGACAGGAAGCAGCACAGCAGGAGUUUUGGCAGGAUUGGACUGCUUGAACAAAACCUUUAGAUUACACUAGAUUAGAUGAGAUGAGAUUAGAUUCAACUUUAUUUAUCCUUUUGAGAGUUCCCUCAAGAAAAAAGUUGUAUUUCAUCAAAUUUUAUAAAUACAAAUGCUAAGUUAAAAGUUUAUUUAACCCACAAGUAGGCUAAUCAACAUGAUAGUUUGUCACAAACUGAUGAAGAUGAAGCCAAGGAAAGUUCAUACAACACUGGGAGGCCCACUGUCUUUCUCAUGAAAUGGCUUCAUCCCUUCAUUCUGCCUCCUUGUGUUCAACACAGCAGACAAAGUGCAACAGGUGCAGGGAUAUCCUGCCUUGAACUGGCAAAGUAAGAGGCUCCAGAUUCAAAGAGGAUCAUGUAUAAAACAGUUUCUUUAUCUUAUUGAUACCUAGGAUCUUUAAAUCUGUUUUCUUCUUUUUUUAUUUAAAACAAAUCCCUUAGCAGUUUUAUUUUCCCUCCUGACCUGUAUUUUUUAACACCUUUCCUUCUUUAGUCUCCAUCCCUUAUUUUCAGAGUAAGAACCAGAGGUAGAGGAAAGAGACCACCUCCUUACAGCAGAGAGAGUAAGCGCUGUCCUCUGGGGACACCAGGUAAGGCGCCUCCGGAGGUUGUUGUAGAUUUCCGGCAUCUUCUCAUUGUUACAAUGCGACAUCUUAUUCUAUCAAAGGUGCUGUAAACACUUCUGUUCUGCAUUCUUCUCACAACCACAGACCCAGAAAGUGUGCUGAUGUCAUCAUCGUUGUGUAACGUUUUAGAUGCGAUGGGAAGAAAGAAGGCUACAGAGAGCAAAGAGUGUGUAGGAUGUGUUGAAAGAACAGUGAGACAUGGUUGAUGAAUAUUUUAAAGGUCUUCUGUUAUGUGAAGAAGAAAAAUGGAGACACGGGAGGCUCUCAGAGAAAUCAGGACAUGAAAACACACACAGAG